rnacentral:sRNA from 1 species
CUCCUGACCAUCAUGUGCCAGUACAACUUCCUGCGGCGGCCACAGCGCAUGCCCGUGUCUACCAAGCCUGUGGAGGAUGAUGUGGACGUGGCCAGCGAGCGGCAGCGAGUGCUCCGGGGAGACGCCGACAACGACAUGGUCAAGAUUGAGAACCUGACCAAGCGUGCUGAAGGAGCUGCUCCAGGUGCAGCAGAGCCUCGGCUACUGCCCGCAGUGCGACGCGCUGUUCGACGAGCUCACGGCCCGGGAGCACCUGCAGCUGUACACGCGGCUGCGUGGGAUCUCCUGGAAGGACGAGGCCAGGGUGAGGAUCUGUGGGGUGGGGCAGGGAGCCAGCACGCUGGGCGGCCCUGCCUCUGCUGACACCUGCGUUCCCCGGCCAGGUGGUGAAGUGGGCUCUGGAGAAGCUGGAGCUGACCAAGUACGCAGACAAGCCGGCCGGCACCUACAGCGGCGGCAACAAGCGGAAGCUCUCCACGGCCAUCGCCCUCAUUGGGUACCCAGCCUUCAUCUUCCUGGACGAGCCCACCACAGGCAUGGACCCCAAGGCCCGGCGCUUCCUCUGGAACCUCAUCCUCGACCUCAUCAAGACAGGGCGUUCGGUGGUGCUGACAUCACACAGGUGAGGCGCCCCCACCCCCCCUUUGUGCCCCCACCCCACAGCACCUCUUCUGGUGCCAGCCUGUGCCUGUCCCGCAGCAUGGAGGAGUGCGAGGCGCUGUGCACGCGGCUAGCCAUCAUGGUGAACGGUCGCCUGCGGUGCCUGGGCAGCAUCCAGCACCUGAAGAACCGGUGAGCUGGGGCGGGGCCA